AUUGAACGCUGGCGGCAUGCCUAAUACAUGCAAGUCGAACGGAAACAGGACGCUGUGAUCCCCUCGGGGUGAACUUGUCGCUGUCGAGUGGCGGACGGGUGAGUAAUGCUUAGGAAUCUGCCCAGUAGUGGGGGACAACACGGGGAAACUCGUGCUAAUACCGCAUACGCCCUACGGGGGAAAGUGGAGGAUCUUCGGACUUCACGCUAUUGGAUGAGCCUAAGUCGGAUUAGCUUGUUGGUGGGGUAAUGGCCUACCAAGGCGACGAUCCGUAGCUGGUCUGAGAGGACGAUCAGCCACACUGGGACUGAGACACGGCCCAG
rnacentral:rRNA from 1 species